UGAAAUGGCCGGCCGUUACCAUAUCAAUCUUUUCGAGGAAGAGGAAGAAGUUAAUCUGUUUGCCGACCACGGAGCUAGGGGAAAAGCAGCAGGGGGGUCUGCAUUUAGUGGAGGUGCAUUUUACACAACAGUAAGUUUGGAUUGUUUCCUUCGGUUUUUGAAGUUGUGUAAAAAUAAACACUCAUUAAUCAUAUAAUGGAUGUUGUGCAGAAAUAACCAGCACCUAGAACUGUCUUUAGUAGCUAUAGACUGAGAGUUAUUAUUUUUACUAUUGUUAAUGUGCCACAUUAAUGAGAUCCUGAAUAGAAUUUUUGUUUCCACCAUGUUUAA